rnacentral:precursor_RNA from 9 species
GUGUCAUCUACGGGAAUGCUUGUUGGGGUGCUGGUCUGCUCCGUGUCCAAAGUUAUGUAUAGUCACUUUGGCACUCUCCAGGCCUGCACACUACAGCCUUUAACAAUUUCUCCCUGUC